rnacentral:rRNA from 1 species
GGAUGAACGCUGGCGGCGUGCCUAAUACAUGCAAGUCGAGCGAACGGACGAGAAGCUUGCUUCUCUGAUGUUAGCGGCGGACGGGUGAGUAACACGUGGAUAACCUACCUAUAAGACUGGGAUAACUUCGGGAAACCGGAGCUAAUACCGGAUAAUAUUUUGAACCGCAUGGUUCAAAAGUGAAAGACGGUCUUGCUGUCACUUAUAGAUGGAUCCGCGCUGCAUUAGCUAGUUGGUAAGGUAACGGCUUACCAAGGCAACGAUGCAUAGCCGACCUGAGAGGGUGAUCGGCCACACUGGAACUGAGACACGGUCCAGACUCCUACGGGAGGCAGCAGUAGGGAAUCUUCCGCAAUGGGCGAAAGCCUGACGGAGCAACGCCGCGUGAGUGAUGAAGGUCUUCGGAUCGUAAAACUCUGUUAUUAGGGAAGAACAUAUGUGUAAGUAACUGUGCACAUCUUGACGGUACCUAACCAGAAAGCCACGGCUAACUACGUG